AUUGAACGCUGGCGGCAGGCCUAACACAUGCAAGUCGAGCGAGCGGCGGACGGGUGAGUAAUGCCUAGGACUCUGCCUGGUAGUGGGGGUUAAAGUCCGGAAACGAAAGCUAAUACCGCAUACCUUCAGAUGAGCCGAGAUGGGAUUAGCUUGUUGGUGGGGUAACGGGUCACCAAGGCGACGAUCCGUAGCUGGUCUGAGAGGAUGACCAGCCACACUGGAACUGAGACACGGUCCAGACUCCUACGCGAGGCAGGAGUGGGGAAUAUUGCACAAUGGGCGCAAGCCUGAUGCAGCCAUGCCGCGUGUCUGAAGAAGGCCUUCGGGUUUUAAAGUACUUACAGCGGGGAGGCGUUACCCGCAGAAGAAGCACCGGCUAACUACGUGCCAGCAGCCGCGGUAAUUC
rnacentral:rRNA from 1 species